GAGCAGAAAUUUGCACAUGGUUUAAUUGUCUUUUUAGACCUUAAGAUCACAGGCAAAGAAAACAACAAUUACAUAAAAAGUCUGUUCUCUCGUAUUGUGGGACCCUCCAGAACUUCUAGCUCACAUUGUAAUUAAAAAACAACAGAAAAGCACUUGUCCUUGCCCAUACUCAUCACAACUUUAGAUAGCUUAGAUUUGUUUAUCGAUAUCUAUUUUGUGGUGAAAAUAUAGUCAUAUAUUCAAUAAAUUAGAAUUUGCGUUCCAAUUAGGCCCGUUUGUCAGAUUAAACGUACCUUUUACAAUUAAAAAUAUUUAAGCAGAUAAUAAAUAUACCUACCUUUCAUUAAGCCCACAUUUCUGUAAUACCUUUUUAUUGGUCUGAUGUAAUAUUCUAAUCUCAAAUGUUGUGCUUUCAUUGGCUGUAAGGAAAUCAUCACAAUAAACAGAAGUAAAGGUUUGAAAAAAAUCGCUCUGUGUAAUUAAUUUAUAUAAUGCGUUUCACGUUGAGAACUGAUUUAUUGAAUGUGAUGUACCUUAAAACAGCGCCCCCUACAGUCACAUUAUACAAAAUCAAUUCCCCUGCGAGUUUCGAGGGAAAUUGAUUGCAAAUAAAGAAGUCAGAUCCGCUGAGCCGGAGGACUGGGUUGUCCGUGAAGACCACCCCAAUUUAUGCUGUUAGUGAUGCUGACUGCAGCCCGGUAACCUGUGACGAAAAGGUUUAAAGAACAGCAAAAGUCUUCAAAUGUCUCGACUACUUUCAUGCCACAAACGAGCCUGUUGUUGGACGUUGCAAGGGACAACCACAUCUGGGACACUGAGAGUGAUCCCUGCAGGGUCGCGGGGGAGUGGGUGCCUAUCUCCAGCUGUCAUUGGGCGAGGGUCGGGGGGCACCCUGGACAGGUCGCUAGUCCAUCACAUGACAACACAGAGACACACAGGAGGUAGCUGGAGUACCCAGAGAGAACCCACGAAUGCAGAGGGAGAACUCUGUGCAGCGUGAACCCAGGACCUUCACGCUAACAACUGUGCCACCAUGCAGCACACGUAUGAAAAAUAAAAGUAUAAUAAAUA